rnacentral:tRNA from 1 species
GGCCCAGUGUGGUGUAGUGGUUUGAGUGUUGGAUUGUGACUCUGGAGAUCAGGGUUUGAUUCCCUGCUCAGCCA